GUGGUUCCAUUCCCAGCUUUCCAAGGAAUCUCCAUACUGCUUUCCAAAUUGGCUGCACCAAUUUGCAGUCCCACCAGCAAUGUAUGAGUGUACCUUACCCCCCCCCCCAUCCUCCCCAGCACUUAUUGUUGUUUGACUUCAUAAUGGCUGCCUCUCUGACUGGAGUGAGAUGGUAUCUUAGGGUGGUUUUGAUUUGCAUUUCUCUGAUUGCUAGAGAUGGUGAGCAUUUUUUCAUGUAUUUGUUAAUUGAUGGUAUGUCCUCUUCUGAGAAGUUUCUGUCCAAGUCCUUGGCCCAUUUGUUGAUUGGGUUAUCUGCUUUUUUGUUGUUUAACUUUUUGAGUUCUUUGUACACUCUAGAGAUUAGAGCUCUAUCUGAUGUUUGAGGGGUAAAAAUUGGUUCCCAGGAUGUAGGCUCCCUAUUCACCUCGCAUAUUAUUUCUCUUGCUGAGAAAAAACUUUUUCAGUUUGAAUUCGUCCCAUUUGUUGAUUCUUGGUUUUAACUCUUGUGCUAUAGGAGUCUUAUUAAGGAAUUUGGGGCCUGCCCCCACGAGAUGAAGAUGAGGACCAACUUUAUCUUCUAUUAGACGCAGAGUCUCUGGUCUGAUUCCUCAGUCUGCCGUCUUGAAAGCCUGACCGUGCAGAACCCCUGAAGCUCUCCUGGGAGGAACCAUCACCACCCUCAGAAAGGCCACCUUGACUUUGGUCACUUUACAGGGGACAAAAACCAACUCUGUUCUUGGAGCCACGAGGGCCACUCCUUUAAGUGCCAAAAGGCGCCCCCUUACAGGAACCCUGAAUUCCACCUCGGAGCAUCAAUACCUCCAUGAACCAGGCUGCAUAUAUUUACAGAGGGAAUCAUAUCACCCAUUUCCCUGGUGGUAAAGGGAGAAGAUGACCAAGGCUCAUCAGUGGAUGUGUCCUGUCUUGUGGAAACCCUCACAUACUUCUCUGGGAGCUCGAGGAUGGCCUGGUGCCUGCCCUGCAGCAGGGUAACACCCCCUAUGUCCAUGGGGUUUUGUAUUUGUACCAGGAUUUGGCCAGUACCCAGAAGGCUCUGGAGCUGCUGGGUAAAAGGUAUGGACGCCUCCAGCCAUAUGUUGAGGAGGAGUACCUUCAAGACAAGAAAUCAUGACUCACCUUCUUCUCAUUCCCUAAGAAACAAUUGCCGCAGUCUGGCUGGACACAAUCAGGAGCCACUUGUCAAAAGAAACUAACUUUAUUUUUAGAACCACACAGGCCAAACAAAACAGCCUCUCAGGAAAAACCCUCAGAGCCUCAACUGCCACCACCGGCUUUCCACAAGCCUCUCUCUCCCACACAAGCUUCUCUCCACCUCCCACAAUCCUCCUGCUCUUGAGGCCGAUUGGCUGGGUCACGUGGGCGGAGCCAAAAAAGUCCCCCAAUGAGCAGCUCCGUGGUCUGAAAGGGCAGGGAAACAGUCCAAUGAGCAUCACCGCAGAGGAGCCAAUCAGCUAGAUGUUGCUGGGGCCGAGGAGCCAAUCAGCUAGAUGUUGCUGGGGCCGCUGUGAGCCAACCAUCAGCCAGCAGCUGGAAGUUUGCUGGCAGCUGGAAGUUUGCUGGGGCCCCUUCGGCUGUGGCUCUCAACAAACAAUAUUGAAGUUAGACCAGUUAAUUACUCUGUAAUGGACUGAACAGUUGGAAUAAAAGGAAGAGUUCCAUGUUUUGCAUUCCAAAUAGAAAGCUGUGCCUUGGGCUGGGCUGUAGCUCAGUGGCAGAGUGCUUGCCUAGAAUGUAUGAGGCACUGAGUUCAAUCCUUAGCACUACAAAAAAAAAAAAAAAAAAAAAAAAAAAAACUAAACAAAGAAAGGCAUGCUGUUGAUCUAAAACUAUUAAAAAAAGAAAGAAAGAAAGAAGGAAAGAAAGGAUAGAAAAAAAAAGCUGUGCCUCUUGAAUAGUUAGUCCCAAUGAGAAUGCAAGGGAAAUGUUCAUAAAGAAAAUUAAAGUGCUGCUCCAGGGCAUAUGUGAAUGAUAAGAAAGCAAAACAGCUGAUAGGGAUAAAGUUUUCAUAGUCUGGAGAACAGAUGAAACAAGCCACGUUCCCUUAAGCCAAAACCGCAUCCAGAUAAGGCCAAAACAUUAGAUUUUUCUGAUGCCAAGAGAAGGGAGAAAGCUCCAGAAGAAGUCUGAAGGUGGCAGAAUUUGGUUCAUGAUGUUGGAGGCAAGAGGCCCAUCUCCAUAUAAGACAAGUGCAGGGUGAAGCAGCAAGUGCUGAUGUAGAAGCUACAGCAAGUCAUGAAGAAGAUCUUGCUAAGCUAUCUGAUGAAGACGCGAUAUGGUUGAGUUUCUCGGUGUCCCCUAAAAGCUCAUGGGUGAGACAAUGCAAGAAGGUUUAGAGGGGAAAUGAUCCUGUUAUGAGAGCCUAAAGCCAAUUAGUGAAUUAAUCCCCUGGCAGGAUGAACAGGUGGCACAGAUAAAAUGGGGUGCCCACACCCUCCCCAAGCCUGGAGGUGUAGGCGCCACCUGUGGAGGAGUCCAGUUGCAGGGUGGAAGCGAACAGCAGCCAUCCUCAACGUUCCACAUUAGGGUUCCACAUUGGAGGUUCCCAGCAACCAGCGGCAUCCCUCUGCGGGCAGGACAUUCAUCAGCGAGCCUAGGUGCCCUAAGGCCCUUUGGGGGGAGUCCAGUUGAAUCGGUGGCUGCAUGGAAAUAGGUGUCCAAAUAGGAGCAUCCUCAUCCAUUGGCGGUGGCGGGAGUCUGCUUCCAGUGCAGUGGAGGUGUUGGCAGCAUUACUGGUGGCCAGGUCGGGACUCCAGUGGCCACAGUGUGGAGCGCUGGCUGUGGCGACAGCGACAGCGUAGGGCAGCGGGCCUCAGAGUCAGAGGGCGACCAGAGGAUGGGGUGCCCUGUGCUGUGGCUACCCCAGGCCACUUGUCUUGCUCCUGGCAGGGCCUGCCUGCUCAGGAAGCAGGACACGGCAGGCGGCGGUACCCACACAGCCUCUGAGGACCUUAUGCUGCCCACGCAGGUGGCGCCUGGCACCGGCCCUGAGCCCCCCGGGUGGCAGCUCGCCCCACCCCGGGUUCGCCCUGCCCCUCCCUGGGUUGCGGCCUCUGCGGGAGGAGUAGGCCCGCUACCAGCCGGGGCAGCCUUUGGAGAGGACACCCACCCUCCCCAGCGACAUCUCUCCUGGGCUGUGGCCACUGAGAGCAGAGGCAGUGGGGGGUGGGGCUACAAAUCCUCCCCCUCAAAGCGCAUCCCUGGGGCGGGACAAGGGUGGAGGGCAUAGAUGGCAGAGGGAACCCCAAGACCUGCCGUCCUUGGUCUUGGUCUUCUGCCACCCUUAGACAAAGAAAUGUACUUAAAAAAAAUUAAUUAGCUCUAAUUAGUUGUACAUAACAGCAGAAUUCACUUUGGUUCUUUGUACAGAAAUGGAGCACAGCUUUUCAUUUCUCUGGUAGAACACGAUGUAGAGUUGCACCAUAUGUGCAGUCCUGCAUGUACCUAGGGUAAUGAUAUCCGUCUCAUUCCACCCUCUUUCCUACCCCAUGCCCGUCCCUCCUAUCCUUCCCCUUUGCCCCAAGUUCCUCCAUUCUUCCCUUGCCCCCCUCAUUAUGGAUCAGCAUCCACUUAUCAGGGAGAACAUUCAGCCUGUUGUUUUUGAGGAUUAGCUUUUUUCACUUACAUAAUAUUCUCCAACUCCAUCCACUUACCUGCAAGUGUCAUAAUUUUAUUCUCUUUUAAAGCUGAUUCCAUUGUGCACAUAUACCACAUUUUCUUUAUCGAUUUAGCUCUUGAAGGACUUCUAGGUUGGUUCCACAGUUUACCUACUGUGACUUGAGCUGCUAUAAACAUUGAUGUGGCUGCAUCACUCUAGUAUGCUGAUGUUAAGUCUUUUGGGUAUAGAUUGAGGAGUGGAAUUUCUGGGUCAAAUGGAGGUUCCAUUCCAUGUUUUUUGAGGAAGCUCCAUACUGCUUUCCAGAGUGGUUGCACCAAUUUGCAAUGCCACUAGCAAUGUAUGAGUAUACCUUCCCCCCCCCCCCACAUCCUCACCAACACUUAUUGUUGCUUGUAUUCUUGUUAACUGCCAUUCUGGCUGGAGUAAGAUGGUCUUAGAGUAGUUUUGAUUUGCAUUUCUCUAAUUUCUGGUGAAGUUGAACAUAUUUUCAUACAUUUGUUGAUCGACUGUGUAUCUUCUUCUGUGAAGUGUCUGUCCAUUUCCUUAGCCCAUUUAUUUAUUGGGUUAUUUAUUCUUUGGGUGUUGAAGUUUUUGAGUUUUUAAUAUAUCCUGGAAAUUAGUGUUUUAUCUAAUGUGCGUGCAGUAAAGAUGUUCUCCCACUCUGUGAGCUCUCUCUUCAUAUUAUUGUUUCCUUUGCUGAGAAGAAGCUUUUAAGUUUGAAUCCAUCCCAUUAUUAAUUCUUGAUUUUAUUUCUUAAGUACAGGGUCUCUGGUCUAAUUCCUAGGUCCUUAAUCUACUUUGAGUGUUUGUGCAAGGUGAGAGAUCGUGGUUUAAUUUCAGUCUGCUACAUAUGGAUUUACAGUUUCCCCAGCACCAUUGUUGAAGAGGCUAUCGUUUAGCUAAUGUAUGUUUUCGGCACCUUUGUCAAGAAUGAGAUAACUACAUUUAUGUGGGUUUUUCUCUGUAUCUUCUAUUUUGGACCAUUGGUCUACAUGUGUAUUUUGGUGCCAAUAGCAUGCCGUUUUUGUUACUACAGAUCUGUAGUAGUUUAAGUUUUGAUAUUGUGAUGUCUCCUACUUCACUCUUUUUGCUAAGGAUUGCUUUGUCAAUAAGGAUUUCUCUGUGUCUAUUUUUCCAAAUGAAUUUCAUGAUUACUUUUUCUAUUUCUAUGAGGAAUGUUAUUGGGAUUUUAAUUGGAAUCACAUUAAAUCUGUAUAAGGUUUAUGAUAGUGUGGCCAUGAGGGAGGAAUUGGAAUCAGGUACCUGCUCAAAAGGGUAGGGAUCCGAUAGCCACGCCCACCUCAAAAUGGCAAGGAAUGCUUUCCAAGAUGUAGUCGGUGUGAUGUCAGGGGAACCGAUGGCCUUGUGCUGUGGGGAGGUAGCAGCUGAGUGACCUGCGUGGGAGUGGAGCGAGUCUCAGCGGUCUGCAGAUGUGUUGGUAGGUGGUUCUGCUAAGGCGCUGGCCAAGUCUUAAGUGAACUGCAACUUUGGCUUUGGGUCCUGCUCGGACACUGAGGCCCUGAGUCCUGCGUGAGGUCACAGCGCUGGUCAUUUCUGUAGAGAGAAGCUGUACAGGGGCCUCUAACACUCUCAAGAGAUGCAGAAUUCCUACUAGGAGAGAUCUGGAUCACAGAGCAACACAGAUGCUGCUUCCCUCUGGUCCACCAUCUUUGAAAGUCUUUUCAAUUUCUUUCUUUAGUUUUCAUUGUAUAGGUCUUUCAUCUCUUUUGUUAAAUUUAUACCCAAAUAUUUCAUUUUUGAGGCUAUUGUGAAUGGGAUAGUUUUCCUAAUUUCUCUUUCAGAGGGUUCAUCACUAAUAGAUAGAAAUGCAUUUGAUUUAUGAAUAUUGAUUUCAUAUCCUGUGACAUUGCUGAAUUUGUUAAUAUUAGAAGUUUUCUGGUGGAGUUUUUUUGGAUCCUCUAUGUGUAGAAUCAUGUCAUCAGCAAAUAGGGAUAGUAUGAGUUCUUCUUCCCCUAUUCCUAUCCCUUUAAUUUCUUUCAUCUACAGCUCUGUCAUGUAGUCUAAGCUGUACUGGAGUUUAAACAGCAGUAUAGUUUAAACUCUGGCUAGAGUAUCAGGGACUAUGUAGAGUAGAAGGUGAGAGAGGGCAUCCUUGUCCUGUUCCAGUUCUGAGAGGAAAUGCUUCCAAUCAGAAAUGCACUUUGAGGAUGAAGAGGUCCUAGUUCCUCUGCUCCCUCCCCCCACAGCCCAGGUGGGAUGUCUCUUAGGAAGGUGAGGGUCCUCUCCCAAGGCUGCCCCACCUGGCAGAUGGCCUAGUUCCCCCGCAGAGGCCACAUCGGGGAUGGGGCGAGCAGCCACCCGGCGGGCUCAUGGCCAGUGCCAGGCGAGGCAGGUGUGGGCAGCCUAAGGUCCUCAGCAGCUGCCUGGGUAUUGCCACCCCCCUCGUGCUGCUUCCUGAACAGGCCGCUCAGCCAGGACCAAGACCCAGGGCCUGGAACAGCCACUGCAGAGGCCAUUCCAGCCUCUCGUCGCCCUUCCACUCUGAGGCUCACUGCCCUGCGCCCUCGCUGCCGCCACCAGCCUGGAGCUCUUCACUGUAGCCACGGGACUCCCCACAUGGUCGCCAGAUGCCACUGCAGCAGUAUUCCUGUUACCCCAGCAGGAUGAAGAUGCUCACCACUGGACGCCUCUGUGUCCUCAGCCCCGUUUCCAGACUCUACUGGUGCUGCCGCCACCGUGCAGCAACCAAACUCCCAAACCCCAGCUGGACUAUGAUGCUGCCCACCAAGGGCCCAACGUCAAUGCCCUUCACCCCCCACCAUGAUGCCUGACUCCAGUGCCCCAUGCCGGCUCCCGGAUGAAGCUGCAUGUUGCUGCUGCCACCACCAGACUCCAUCAUGGACGCAAGACAGCGAUACUCAGCACUGGAUGCCCACUUCACCCACUGCAGCCAGACUCCUGUGGCACUGCAGGACAGAAAUGAUCAUGGCAACAUCCCUCUGUUGUCACCACAGCAGCUUCUGGACUCUUCUGCUGCCACCGCCACAGUGAGUAUGCAGCAAGGGAUCUCCCAAACUGCAGCUGGAUGCCAACACCUCAGCUGUUGCCACCCCCAUGCCAACUCUCAACUCCGGACCUCCCUCGCCUGAUGCCCUAUGCCUGAAGCAGCUACAUGUUGCUGCUGCUGCCACCAGAUGCUACCACUCCAUGAGGCCUCUUCAGUGAUUCCAUCCCAAAGAUGCUGCUGUGCUGCCCAAGACCACAGAAGCUGGGAAGUUGGGCAGUCUCCAUCCCAGUCGCCUCAUCAGAGCCCACCGCUUGCCGCCUGCCUUUCCUCCCCCAGGACCACCCACCAGUCCUUCUGGGCCCUUGAGCAGGAGUUGUGCUGACUCAGGGAACUCAUCCAAGGAAAACAACUGACCAUCAGGAAGAAGGAAACACCAGAGAAGCUUGAGGAUCAGAAGGACACUAGCCCUGCUCUGGUCACCCUGGAAGCUAGCUAGCCUGCACACACCAAAGCUUGAGGAAACAGCAGCCCUGCUUCAGCCACUUGAGGGCUGGCUGAUCAAUGCAAGGAGGAAAAUAAACUAGGCAACAGGACAAAUGGACUGUUUCAUCCUGUAAGAGGGCUCUCAUACUGUGGUGCAUUGCCACCCCUUACUUCUGUCAUAUGCACAGUCCUUUCCUUGGUCUUUACUACAGGACUGACAACAACCAAACACACAGCUAACCCAUAAUGGGGGGCGGGGCAAGGGAAGAUGGGAGGGACUUUGGAUUGGGCAGAGGGGAGUGUGGGAGGGGAGGGGAUAUGGGAGUGGGAAGGAUGGUGGAAUGAGGUGGAUUGUAUUAAUCUAUGUACAUGUAUGAUUGCAGGAAUGGGGUGACUGUGCACUGUGUCUAACCAGAGAAAUGAAAAGUUGCCUCCAUUUGUGUUUAAUAGUCAAAAUGCAUUCUGCUGUUAUAUAUAACUAAUUGAAAAAAAUUCAUAAAGGACUAAGGCUUAAAAGGAAGUCUGGACACUUUAAUGGUCAUAAAAAUAUGUAUACUUUUCUUAUAUAAAAUUUAAACUUAUUAAUUAAAUUGAAAAAAAAAAACAACAACAACUAGCACAUGUACUAGUUCAAACCUGAAAGGGCAUUAAGGCUUGGGAACCAAGCUCACUCUUUGGAGGAUGGUUUUUCUAUUCUUGGUGGAUUCAAAAGUUUAAUUGACAUAGAAUGGAUUAUGCUAUUGUUUAUUGCUUUCAUGUUUGUCUCCCUUUUACAAUGAAACAUUGGGUCAACUACAGAAGCAGCUAUUGGGGUGGGGAGGGAGUAACAGAGAGAGAAAUUAAGAUUACGGCAUUAUAUAAAAUGUUAAGCCUAGAAGAUAAUGAUGUUUUUUGACUUAAAGGGUUAAAUAAUGAGCAUAGAGGGGGUAACGAUGUACCACAAAUACUCCAAAUGAUGUAGUGUCCAAAAGAUCCCCACCUUAAUUGUAAUAUAUAAGCCUUUCUCCUAGUAAACAAGAUAUUUUUAAAAAGUCAA